rnacentral:rRNA from 1 species
CAUGCAAGUCGAACGAGAAUCUACUGAAAGAGUUUUCGGACGAUGGAAGUAGAGGAAAGUGGCGGACGGGUGAGUAACGCGUGAGGAACCUGCCUUGAAGAGGGGGACAGCAGUUGGAAACGACUGCUAAUACCGCAUGGAGCAUAGGGGUCGCAUGAUUCUUAUGCCAAAGAUUUAUCGCUUCAAGAUGGCCUCGCGUCUGAUUAGCUAGUUGGCGGGGUAACGGCCCACCAAGGCGACGAUCAGUAGCCGGACUGAGAGGUUGAACGGCCACAUUGGGACUGAGAUACGGCCCAGACUCCUACGGGAGGCAGCAGUGGGGAAUAUUGGGCAAUGGGCGCAAGCCUGACCCAGCAACGCCGCGUGAAGGAAGAAGGCUUUCGGGUUGUAAACUUCUUUUAAGAGGGAAGAGCAGAAGACGGUACCUCUAGAAUAAGCCACGGCUAACUACGUGCCAGCAGCCGCGGUAAUACGUAGGUGGCAAGCGUUGUCCGGAUUUACUGGGUGUAAAGGGCGUGCAGCCGGGUCUGCAAGUCAGAUGUGAAAUCCAUGGGCUCAACCCAUGAACUGCAUUUGAAACUGUAGAUCUUGAGUGUCGGAGGGGCAAUCGGAAUUCCUAGUGUAGCGGUGAAAUGCGUAGAUAUUAGGAGGAACACCAGUGGCGAAGGCGGAUUGCUGGACGAUAACUGACGGUGAGGCGCGAAAGUGUGGGGAGCAAACAGGAUUAGAUACCCUGG